rnacentral:rRNA from 1 species
CCUACGGGAGGCAGCAGUCGAGAAUCAUUCACAAUGGGGGAAACCCUGAAGCAGCAACGCCGCGUGGAGGAUGAAGGUUUUAGGAUUGUAAACUCCUUUUGGGAGAGAAGAGAAUGACGGUAUCUCACGAAUAAGCACCGGCCAACUCCGUGCCAGCAGCCGCGGUAAUACGGAGGGGGCAAGCGUUACUCGGAAUCACUGGGCGUAAAGAGGGCGUAGGCGGGUUGGUAAGUCAGAUGUGAAAUCCUGUAGCUUAACUUCAGAACUGCAUUUGAAACUAUGAGUCUAGAGUGUGGGAGAGGUAGGUGGAAUUCUUUGUGUAGGGGUCAAAUCCGUAGAUAUCACGAGGAAUACUCAUUGCGAAGGCGACCUACUGGAACAUUACUGACGCUCAUGCACGAAAGCGUGGGGAGCAAACAGGAUUAGAUACCCUUGUAGUC